UCGCAACGGAAAAGCUAUGAAACUCUUCUUUGUUUUUUUAAAUAAUCGUUAACUAAUUUAUUCAGUUUAUCUUAUUGAAUUUUUUAGCUUGGUUUUUCCUUUUUUUCUCAUCAAGUUUUUCAACAUCAAUAUUUGUGAUUUAUGAUCUACAGUUCAUGGAUUUAUCAUGGUUGUAUGGAUUUGAAUUUUAUUGGCAAAAAUGGGCUUCACCGUUAUGGUUCAUAGAUCAUAUGGAUCAUACAGAUCUUUGAAAAAAAUAACCAUUGUAAAUGUGACUCUCUUCUUGACCAUUAACGAUGGCAACGUGAUAAAACAGAAUGACGACUUAAUUUAAACUCUCGUGGUGAUCAAUGGUUACUAUUGUUAUGUAAGGUGGGAAUAACAUUAUAAAGCAGAAUACGUUCAAAUGAGAAAUAACAUUGUCCAGUGAUUUAUUGUUUCCAUCAUGUUCCUAACAGACUAAUAAAGUUGGCAAUUAAAUGACCAAGUGAGCAGAAAGGAAGAAAGAAAAUAAGAUCUGAUAACGUCUCGGUAAUUGGAUAACAAGAAACUAGCAAUCAGAAUGUUGAAUCAAUGAACAAUUAGGAGAGAGAGAUGGAAAAGAGAAUUGAUUAAGAUGAAGUAAGGAACUCAAUUCCAAAACACUGAGAAAGAAGAAUCCUAUCACGACCUUAAUUCACAUCUGAAUCUUCACAAGGUCAAUAAUUGCGUGCUAACGUGACGUUGGGACAAACUUGAUUUGAUGUUUUGAUAGUCCUUUUCAUCAGUUCACACACACUCAAGUUAUACACAUGAAAAAGGAGAUGUAAAAGAGGAUGACAACCUUGUGUUCAAGUCUGUCGGCUGUUGUCCACUGUUUUCAUAAUAAACAGCUACAAUACAAUUAUUAACUUGAAACCAUAAAGCAAAAUAGUGAUAAGUCAAGACCUAAACAGGAAACAGAAAUGAACAUGACCAAAAACCAUGAAGUAAGCUGACUGUGAUAAGCUCAUUUGGUUGCCUGAAGUUUUUUUUAUGAGCAGUAAAAGCUACCCAAGAAUUAUGGUGAAAUCUUUUUACAGGAUCACAUGAAAAAAGAUAAAGCUGUUCUUUUUGGUUAAUUUAAGUGAUAAUCCUUUGAGCUGAUUCUUCAACCAUGCCGUACGAUUAUUUAACUAAACAGUUAUUGUUCCUGUUGUCAUGAGUCUAUUGAGUUACACGAGCUUUUACAAAUGAUAAAAGGAAAGAAAAAACCAUUCAAUCAAUACAAUCGACAAUUGAAUCUGGCCAAAAAAGACCAAAGCUUGCAAACAAAUAACCUAAUCGUGUAUGAACACUUAAGCUUUGUAAGUUAAUUUUGUUGCAGAUUAAGUAAUGGUGAAAAGAAGGAAACAAGAAGAAGUGCAUUCAAUGGAUUUCCCAUUAACAACAACCAAGCCCGUCAAGGUCCCACAAAAGCAGAGAGACACACGAGUGACCCUUAACAAAAAUCUUUUGCCCACCAAAAGAGAUGUUUUUAACUUCAACAGUACAUUUUAGUAACCAGAAACUGAUUGACUCUUGAUCCAACUUUGACUUUAGAUAUCCGUCAAGAUUUUGACAAUUCUGGGCAAAUCUUCUUUUCAAAUUCUCAUAAUUAUCGUUCAUUUUCCUUCCUCUUCAGUGCGUUAACAUCUGACGAUAUCUGACUCUUAUCAAUUCAAUUUAGUUUCUUAUAUCCUGAUUUUCAUUUCUUAAUGAUGAACAGAGCCAAGAGAAAAAAAAACAUGAUAUAAGAGAGACAAAAUACAAUGAUAGUAAUACAUUUAAUAAUCAUGCAAUUGUUAUUACAGCAUUAUUAUUAUUAAUAUCAUCAUCAUCACCAUCAUCAUUAUUCUGUGUUGUAGUAACAAAUGAGUUGUCCUUAGCAAACUCAUUUCAUUUCAAUCUAACAAAUUAUCUUUCCGUCAUUCAAGUUUCAUAGCUGACUAUUUCACGUUAUUCAAAAAAAUCUAUCAUUUUUUGCUAAUAAUACUUUUUCUUUUAUCCCAUUCUAGCAAUUCGUGUUCUGAUUAGUAGCGUUUUUCAAUGGAGUAAACAGCUAAAGCCAUUUUACCCUGAUAACCCUGAAAGUCAACAUCAUUGAAAAAUCGAUGAAGAAACGUGGAGAAAAAUGAGGAAGAAAACCAUCAAAACAACUUUUUUUGCUUCAUCAUCAAACGAUCAAAACGAGAGAGAAAAAGGUUGAAUGAUUAGUGAAAAAAUGAUAUCAAUUGAUGAAAAUGACAAGUUUUAUCCUUGGAUGGAAAUCAAAGGAAUCAAUUCACACUUAAUCAGUUACAGAUAUUAUCUUCAAUUCCAUCAGAAAUCAUGCUUUUAUAAUGAAGAAGGCGAAACAUCUCGAGUUAUCCUGGAAUCAUUUAAAAAGACUAAUUACUCAACAGGGAAAUGAACAAAAUUGUGAAUUUACUACUUGAAACGAAGUGAAAGAAGUACAAUAAAUUAUGAGCAAUGUCCUCGAGGUAAACUUACGUUAGCAUUUAAACAUUUAGACUUGAGAUACAAGAUUUUCUUUGAAUUUCUCAGACCCAUGACUAUAAAAAGUCUGAUUGAAAAGAGCACCUAAAAUAAAUGGCAAUUUGAUGGUAAUAAAGAAAUAUUAGGGAAAAAUUAUUUUCAUCAACAGCGUACAAUUGUUAGCUUAUUUUCAUCAUAAUGAUUACUAUUAUGUUCAUUGCUAUGAUUUUGCAAAAAAAGAUGAUGAUGAUGUGACUGCCAAUUCUGUUUAUAUCCAGAGUUUUCUUUCCUGUCAGAUUUAACGAUAAAUUCACAAGGAAAAAUUACGUGAGAGUAAACCUUUUUACAUGAAAAGCUAAAUUGCAAAAUAAAUUGUUAAAGUGACGCAAAUUGUAGCAGCAGAAUCUGAGUUUGAAAAAACUCAGCAUUAUCUCACCAUUUUUUAUUUGUUUCAAAAUAACAUUUUAUUCCCAUUUUUUUGCAUGACUGUUCAACUAUUGAUAUUUUUCAUCUCAACUGAACUGUUAUCAUUUCUUGUUUGGUACCGAAUAAAAAACAGAUGAUAAAAUCUGUUUGAAUUAAAUCAAUCAAAAUUGUCUAUCAAUCAAUGAUAACUUUGUCCAUUUUGAGAAGAAAGGAAAAUAUUGUAAUAAGGUUGAGAAAAACUGAUUGAUUAUUGAUCGACUUAUCAUUAUCAUGAUCACAGAAAAACUCAAGGUUUCUCAUGAUAAAUUCAUUCUCCUUUUGAUCAUCAUCAUUGAUGUUCCAUCUGAAGGCAGGUCAAUUUGAUCCAAUGAUAACAAUCGGGAAAACAAUUACAAAAAUAACAGAUUCAACAAACAAUAUUUAAAGUCAUCAUGAUCAUGAGUAACAAAAUCAUAUUUUUUCCUCAGUCAAUUUGAUUGUUUUAUUUAUUUUCACUUUUCCAUCAUCAACAUCUUGCAAGAGUAACUUGAGACUAAACAAAACUAAUAGGUUUGAGGGAAAAAGUUGAACGUAAAGAUAUACAAUUCAAAUAACAAUUUCCUGAAAAUUAAUGUAAGAAACUUGUAUAUAUUUAACA